CAGCCUACGGGGGGCAGCAGUGGGGAAUAUUGCGCAAUGGGGGCAACCCUGACGCAGCAACGCCGCGUGCAGGAAGAAGGUCUUCGGAUUGUAAACUGUUGUCGCAAGGGAAGAAGACAGUGACGGUACCUUGUGAGAAAGUCACGGCUAACUACGUGCCAGCAGCCGCGGUAAUACAUAGGGGGCAAGCGUUAUCCGGAAUUAUUGGGCGUAAAGGGUGCGUAGACGGAAGAACAAGUUGGUUGUGAAAUCCCUCGGCUCAACUGAGGAACUGCAACCAAAACUAUUCUCCUUGAGUGUCGGAG
rnacentral:rRNA from 1 species